rnacentral:SRP_RNA from 1 species
GCCGGGCACGGUGGCUUGUGCCUGUAAUCCAAGCGCCGGGGAGGCUGAGGCUGGCGGACGGCUUGAGCCCGGGGGUUCUGGGCUGCGGCGAGCUGUGCCGAGCGGGCGUCCACGCUAAGGCCGGCAUCGAUAUGGUGGUCCCGGGGGAGCCGGGGGCCACCAGGUCGCCUAAGGAGGGGUGAACCGGCCCAGGUCGGAGACGGAGCAGGUCAAAGCUCCCGUGCCGCUCGGUAGCGGGAUGGCGCCUGUGAACAGUCCCUGUAGCACAGCCCGGGCAAGAGAGCGGGACCCAGCCUCUU